GAUGAACGCUGGCGGCGUGCCUAAUACAUGCAAGUCGAGCGAACAGACGAGGAGCUUGCUCCUCUGACGUUAGCGGCGGACGGGUGAGUAACACGUGGAUAACCUACCUAUAAGACUGGGAUAACUUCGGGAAACCGGAGCUAAUACCGGAUAAUAUAUUAAACCGCAUGGUUCAAUAGUGAAAGACGGUUUUGCUGUCACUUAUAGAUGGAUCCGCGCCGCAUUAGCUAGUUGGUAAGGUAACGGCUUACCAAGGCGACGAUGCGUAGCCGACCUGAGAGGGUGAUCGGCCACACUGCAACUGAGACACGGUCCAGACUCCUACGGGAGGCAGCAGUAGGGAAUCUUCCGCAAUGGGCGAAAGCCUGACGGAGCAACGCCGCGUGAGUGAUGAAGGUCUUCGGAUCGUAAAACUCUGUUAUUAGGGAAGAACAAAUGUGUAAGUAACUAUGCACGUCUUGACGGUACCUAAUCAGAAAGCCACGGCUAACUACGUG
rnacentral:rRNA from 1 species